rnacentral:rRNA from 1 species
AUGAACGCUGGCGGCGUGCCUAAUACAUGCAAGUCGAGCGAACGGACGAGAAGCUUGCUUCUCUGAUGUUAGCGGCGGACGGGUGAGUACACGUGGAUAACCUACCUAUAAGACUGGGAUAACUUCGGGAAACCGUAGCUAAUACCGGAUAAUAUUUUGAACCGCAUGGUUCCAAAGUGAAAGACGGUCUUGCUGUCACUUAUAGAUGGAUCCGCGCUGCAUUAGCUAGUUGGUAAGGUAACGGCUUACCAAGGCAACGAUGCAUAGCCGACCUGAGAGGGUGAUCGGCCACACUGGAACUGAGACACGGUCCAGACUCCUACGGGAGGCAGCAGUAGGGAAUCUUCCGCAAUGGGCGAAAGCCUGACGGAGCAACGCCGCGUGAGUGAUGAAGGUCUUCGGAUCGUAAAACUCUGUUAUUAGGGAAGAACAUAUGUGUAAGUAACUGUGCACAUCUUGACGGUACCUAAUCAGAAAGCCACGGCUAACUACGUG